rnacentral:rRNA from 1 species
CCUACGGGUGGCAGCAGUCGAGAAUUAUUCACAAUGGGGGAAACCCUGAUGGUGCGACGCCGCGUGGGGGAAUGAAGGUCUUCGGAUUGUAAACCUCUGUCCUCUGUGAAGAUAAUGACGGUAGCAGAGGAGGAAACUCCGGCUAACUACGUGCCAGCAGCCGCGGUAAUACGUAGGGAGCAAGCGUUGUCCGGAUUUACUGGGUGUAAAGGGUGCGUAGGCGGCCCUGCAAGUCAGAAGUGAAAUCCAUGGGCUUAACCCGUGAACUGCUUUUGAAACUGUAGGGCUUGAGUGAAGUAGAGGCAGGCGGAAUUCCCGGUGUAGCGGUGAAAUGCGUAGAGAUCGGGAGGAACACCAGUGGCGAAGGCGGCCUGCUGGGCUUUAACUGACGCUGAAGCACGAAAGCGUGGGUAGCAAACAGGAUUAGAUACCCCAGUAGUC